AUCGAACGCUGGCGGCAGGCUUAGCACAUGCAAGUCGAGCGGGGUGAUGGUGCUUGCACUAUCACUUAGCGGCGGACGGGUGAGUAAUGCCUAGGAAUCUGCCUAUUAGUGGGGGACAACAUCUCGAAAGGGAUGCUAAUACCGCAUACGUCCUACGGGAGAAAGCAGGGGAUCACUUGUGACCUUGCGCUAAUAGAUGAGCCUAAGUCGGAUUAGCUAGUUGGGGGGGUAAAGGCCUACCAAGGCGACGAUCUGUAGCGGGUCUGAGAGGAUGAUCCGCCACACUGGGACUGAGACACGGCCCAGACUCCUACGGGAGGCAGCAGUGGGGAAUAUUGGACAAUGGGGGGAACCCUGAUCCAGCCAUGCCGCGUGUGUGAAGAAGGCCUUAUGGUUGUAAAGCACUUUAAGCGAGGAGGAGGCUCUUUUGGUUAAUACCCAAGAUGAGUGGACGUUACUCGCAGAAUAAGCACCGGCUAACUCUGUGCCAGCCGCCGCAGUAA
rnacentral:rRNA from 1 species